rnacentral:lncRNA from 1 species
UUCUAAUUUCCCUGUACUCCAACAUGGGAAUCGAACUCUGGUUAAUGCCCGAAUCUCUCAGGAGGCAUCGUCCUCACAAACUCCGAAUAUUAAUCUUGAUGAUAUUCCUGAAACUCAUCCUUUAUUCCAGCAGAUUAAGUCCUAUUUAUCUGAUCAGAAAAAGGCUGCAGAUUCCUUUGCAUCAAUCAUUACUGAAAAUGAAGAUAAACCUUCAUAUGAGAAACUCGAAGCAAGGGAACUCAUUAUUUAUCUGGAAAAUCAGCAUAUCCCCUCACAAGAAAACUCCGAAGAAGCAUGGAGAAUCUUAAAAAAUUAUUUAACCGCUAAUGUUUAUAUGGCAGGAGAAUCCUACAAAACACGGACUUAUUUUGAGCAAAUUUUAAUUCACACCGCCAGUGCAACUUUUGAGCACAGCCCUCUUGGUGAAUCCACCCCUGGAGUACAUGGCUACUCCAAAAUAGUCAUCAAAAAGCUCAUCCCUAUUGAAGAAUGGGGAAUUUCCUCUAUGACGCAACGAAGUCUUCCCAUGGGUCCGCAAGGACAAACUAUUGCCAACUUCACCUACUGGGAUUACAUUAAAGCUUUUACCUCUGUGUUAUACUACAAUAAUUACAAACAUAAACACACUUGGUUCAUCAAAAUCUGUCCCAAAGUCUUUGAGAAACCUAUUCCAAAUUGGUUUAUUCGUUGGUGGACAAAUCACGGCCCAUCGGUAAAAAUUUUGCCAACAGAAUAUACUUCCUUAUAUAACUCAUGGAAAAAAUCCUCUCCAUUUCUGACCGAAUUAUAUCUCUCUGACCAUAUCUGCAAAUUAGACACUAUCGAUCAAAUGUACUUUUAUAUCGAAUUCUCUAUUCCCUGGAUACAUCGUUGGUCGAUUGAAAUUGGUUACGAUUCACAACAGAUCCCAGCUAUUUAUCGGACUUUUUAUUGUAAUUUCUGGGAUAAACUGCUCAGAAUAGACCCCGACACCAAACUUCCCUAUGGACAUGACCAAAAGAAAGAAAUCAAGGAAAAAAUCUCCGCAUAUGAAAGAACACCCAAAAAAUCUAUUUUAAUUGAAGAUAAAUCACUCAAUUAUGUCUCUCGGAGAAUCUCUGCUCAUGAUGGAAAUAAGCUCCAACUCAUUGAAGAAUAUCUGGCCGAAGUCCAAGACAAAUUACUUCAUACAGUCGAACAGACUUCAGACACAUCUAUGAAUAGCACGGAGCGAAACACUAAUGAUAUCACGGAUUCCCAGCCACCAGAAACCCUGAAUGCAGACGAAGUAUUAGCCAACGCAGAAGAAUUUCUACGAUGGGGCCACAAAAAAUAAAUCUGAAUAUGUAAUAAUUAUUGCUAAUACUGUUUCAAAAUACUGUGGUAAAACACUGUGUCAAAAUACUGUGGAAAAACACUGUGCACAGGUCCCACAUAUUACUGUGCAAGAUUCCUU